rnacentral:misc_RNA from 1 species
AAUCCCGUGAACCAUCGAGUCUUUGAACGCAAGUUGCGCCCCAAGCCUUCUGGCCGAGGGCACGUCUGCCUGGGUGUCACAAAUCGUCGUCCCCCCAUCCUCUCGAGGAUAUGGGACGGAAGCUGGUCUCCCGUGUGUUACCGCACGCGGUUGGCCAAAAUCCGAGCUAAGGACGUUUUGGAGCGUCUCGACAUGCGGUGGUGAAUUGUAACCUCGUCAUAUUGUCG